GACGAACGCUGGCGGCGUGCCUAAUACAUGCAAGUUGAGCGAUGAAGACUGGUGCUUGCACCAAUUUGAAGAGCAGCGAACGGGUGAGUAACGCGUGGGGAAUCUGCCUUUGAGCGGGGGACAACAUUUGGAAACGAAUGCUAAUACCGCAUAACAACUUUAAACAUAAGUUUUAAGUUUGAAAGAUGCAAUUGCAUCACUCAAAGAUGAUCCCGCGUUGUAUUAGCUAGUUGGUGAGGUAAAGGCUCACCAAGGCGAUGAUACAUAGCCGACCUGAGAGGGUGAUCGGCCACAUUGGGACUGAGACACGGCCCAAACUCCUACGGGAGGCAGCAGUAGGGAAGCUUCGGCAAUGGACGAAAGUCUGACCGAGCAACGCCGCGUGAGUGAAGAAGGUUGUCGGAUCGUAAAACUCUGUUGGUAGAGAAGAACGUUGGUGAGAGUGGAAAGCUCAUCAAGUGACGGUAACUACCCAGAAAGGGACGGCUAACUACGUG
rnacentral:rRNA from 1 species